AUGCUUGAGCUCUACAGGGGCAAUUUUGCCUCUUUUGGUAGGCUCAAUUCCUCGAUAAUUACUUUGUUGCCCAAGAAGGACUGUUCGGUGCAAGUGGCUGAUUUCAGGCCGAUUAACUUAAUCCAUGGAGAUGCAAAAAUCUUUGCUAAAGUUCUAGCCGUACGCCUUGCCCCUUUACUGCCAGCCCUUAUUUCGCAAGUUCAGAGUGCUUUCAUCAGCCACAGAAGUAUUCAUGAGAACUUCAAAUUCGUCCGCAAUGCUGCCAGA
rnacentral:rRNA from 1 species